AAAAGGGAAACCUGUCUUUGUGCUUUAAAGGGGCACUAAAAGCAAAUAUUGAGUCAAGCUAAAAUGAUAGAUUAGUGCUCAAGAACGUCUAAGGCAUCAAUAUUAUAGCGAACAGAGCUUUAGUAAUAAAAAAUUUAGUUAAAUGAAGGACAUGAUUAGAGACUGCCCUGGGAAAUUCGAGUACUAAGCCAAUGAUGAAGGCAUUCCUCAUUAUAAUUCUGUCACUAGU
rnacentral:lncRNA from 1 species